rnacentral:rRNA from 1 species
CCUACGGGAGGCAGCAGUAGGGAAUCUUCCACAAUGGGCGCAAGCCUGAUGGAGCAACACCGCGUGAGUGAAGAAGGGUUUCGGCUCGUAAAGCUCUGUUGUUGGAGAAGAACGUGCGUGAGAGUAACUGUUCACGCAGUGACGGUAUCCAACCACAAAGUCACGGCAAACUACGUGCCAGCAGCUGCGGUAAUGCGUAGGCGGCAAGGAUUAUCCGGAUUUAUUGGGCGGAAAGCGAGCGCAGGCGGUUGCUAAGCUUUAAUGUGAAAGCCUUCGGCUUAACCGAAGAAAUGCAUCGGAAACCGGGCGACUUGAGUGCAGAAGAGGACAGUGGAACUCCAUGUGUAGCGGUGGAAUGCGUAGAUAUAAGGAAGAACACCAGUGGCGAAGGCGGCUGUCUGGACUGCAACUGACGCUGAGGCACGAAAGCGUGGGUAGCGAACAGGAUUAGAUACCCGAGUAGUC